GAGCAAGUCGGUAGCAACAUGGUGACAUUGGUAACGUAAGCGAAAGCAUCGAUUCGUCUCCGUGCAAAUUUCUUGUUGCAGUGUCUCGGUGUUAAAGCAAAAGCAUUUUCAAAGAAAUGGAUCCAACUUCUUCCAUGAAAUCUUUGUUACUGGCUAUCACCCAGUAUAAAAAUGCAAAAACUGAAAAUAAUGUUUUGCAACUACAAAGACAAUUAGAUGUAAUCUGUGGAACUAAAGCUGUCAUGAUAUUUGCAACAAAUCAAAGUUUACCAAGUGAAUGUCUGAAUAGCCUUGUGGAACUUGUUGGUGAUCCUAAUGUAAAAGUGACACUGACUCUAAAGAUUAUUGGAUUGCUGACAC